AUGGAAGAAGCGCCCUGCUGUAUCCUUGGAGAGUCCUAAUGGGGAGGACAAGACAGUAGCAAUCCAGUGGACGACCCUUUUUACAGGGAGAGCAGAGCUUCGAUUUUAGGUCCAAAGCCGCCCAGGGGUAGACACACAAGCUAUCAUCUCAAGAGUGACCAUCUCACUUGAUCUUUUCUUCUCCAGGAUAGCUUCUGAGAAAGAUGUUACAGAUAUGUGAGAAUGAUGCCCUCCCUCAAAAUGUUGUUAAGGACACCUUGGUGGAGACCAUCUAGACAGGUGGCAUGGGUGGGCACUGGCUGGCUGGAGAUGAGUUCUGGAAUUUGGAGCCAAGGUCUGGAGGCAACAGAAAAAAAUGGAAUAGAAACCUUACCAUUUGCAACCACAGGAAUGGGUCCACAGGACAUUAUGCUAAGUGAAAUAAGUCAGACACACAAGGACAAACACUACCAGUACCACUUACAUGACAAUAACACUGUCCUAUAUUUUGACUUCGGUGUUGGUUACAUGACUAUAUGCAUUUAUCAAAACUCAUAUACAACUGAACAGGAAAUGAGUGUGUUUUACUAUAUGUAAAUAAGAAAGUGAAUGGAAUGUAUUCAACCACAAAAUGCAGACAGAAGAACAAAGGUAAUAGUUUGGGGGAGAUUUCCUCAUAGAAUGGAAGGUAGACUAUAAAUUGGCAAAACAUUUCAGUUUGAAAAAAAAAUGUUUAGAUCCCUUGAGGAAAACAAACACAUUUUGAGUUUUAAAAUAUAUUAAAAUAUUUAAGAUUUUAAUAUUUAAUUUCUGCUUUACAACAGAUUAAAGGAAUAUACUUACGUAAGAAACAGAACACUUUGUUUCAAAAUUUGCAUUUGUUGAAACACUGUAACAAAUCUUUGGAGAAGAUAGUGUUAUCAUUUCAUCCUGGUGAAACCAAUUCACUGACCCAAGCAUAUGCAUACCAAAGAGAGGGGAGCCAAGAUUAAACACAUAUUUUUUUUAAUGAUUCUUUCUUGCGCAUAAUGUCCACAUUUCAAAAUUUGGAAGAGGACCCUGAAAUGAGUUUCAGGUGGGGCAGACAAUUGUCAGAGGAUCUGGUUAGACCACAGAGACGAUCAGAUGUGUCAUGGGGACCAUGACCUGUCUUUAUGCCUCAUGGUCAGAGGUAGAAGGAAGACUGAACCUUCUCAUAAAAAGUCAGUGUGAAAGCCCCAUGGCGUUAGUGCUGGCUUCGCCCACCACAUCCUGUGCCUCUUCCUGGCCUCCUGGACUCCGUCUCCACCCAGCUGCUCCACAUUCGUGCGGUAGCAUCAGUGCAAUGACCUCUACGCUCACCGCCCUGCUGUACCUCGGGCUGCUCCUGAGCCAGACCGUCAGCGCCCAGGAGGAGAUUCUUUCAAAACCCAUCAUCUGGGCCAAGCCAGAUUUCAUGAUUCCGAAGGGAACGCGGGUGUCAAUCUUAUGCCAGGGGACUCCUGAGGCCAUUGAGUACCAGCUAUACUUCGAGGGACACCUCUCUGCCCAGCGGAGCCCAAAACGACUUGGAAGGAGGAGCAUAGCCGUGUUCCACAUCCCAGCCAUGACCCCGCACACUGCCGGGCAAUACAAGUGCGUUUACCGAAGGAAGAAGCUCUGGUCGGAGCCUAGUGGCCCUCUGGAUCUGGUGGUAACAGAAAUGUAUGACACGCCCACCCUCUCCAUUCAUCCUGGGCCUGAGGUGCCCUCAGGAAAGAACGUGACCUUCUAUUGCCGUCUAGGCACUGCAACAAGCACGUUCUUUCUGCUCAAGGAGGGAAGGUCCAGCCGUCCUCAGCACAGAUAUGGGAACACCCAGGUGGAGUUCUCCAUGGGUCCUGUGACCACAGCCCACAGAGGGACGUACAGAUGUUUUGGCUCUUACAACAACUAUGCCUGGUCUUUCCCCAGUGAGCCUGUGAAGCUCCUGGUCACAGAAGAUGUUGGGGGCACCAGCCUUGCACCCACAGAGCACACCUCUUUUUCUGACCUUUGGGACCUCGACCUGUUAACCACAGAGGCAGAGUUCCAGCAAGACCUUGCCGUCUGGGAUCACACCGCCCAGAAUCUCCUUCAGAUGGGUCUGGCUUUCCUGGUCCUGGUGGCCCUCAUGUGCCUCCUGGCUGAAGACUGCCUUUGGGGGAAGAGGACUCAGGAGAAGGCCAAUGGGGCUUCAAGUCGGCAACGCAGGGGAAGGUUCAGAACACAGAGACGCCUGGACAAAUGACCAAGAGAUGAGCUGGCCACAGUGAAGUUGUGUGAGUUAAGUCUGUGUUGGGUCUGAUGACUGAGCUCACAGCUCCUGCCACUGAGAGACUUCUCCAGAACUAUACGUCAGGUCAAUGGACGUAGAAAUGAGGCAGUACCACAGCUUAGCCCUCGAGACUCCUGAUUUGCUCCUUGAGAAUUUCUACUUUGUCAACCCAUUAAUACAACCACUGUAUGGGUCCCUGCCCCCCUCAAGAUUCUGACACCUCACACGGCUCAAACCCAUUCUCUACAUCUGAGUUUUCUGUUAUGGAUCAGAGAACAUUGAUUCCAACCUCAAAGGGGUGAAAUGCGUAUUUCAUGAGAUAAGAAUAUCCAGAAACCAGCAUGGGCUCCGACACAUGUGUUCAUGGACCAAGAACUUCUGUUGAUACGGAAUCAUGACGCUCUUUAUCCCAAGACAUGACGGAUUCCUUCGGAUGUGUUUAUGAUAUCCCCAAAUUUCCAUGUUCGAAGUGAUGGCAGGAAACCUGCAGUCUCGGGGGGAGGGCAAUGUGUGAGGCAGAAGAAUUUGUUUCUCCAGAUUUGAGGGCAGGGGCUUGAGAGCCUUCUCAGAGGGAUGGAGGGGUCUUUUCCACGCAAGGCUGUCCCCCUCACCGCUCCAAGACAAAAUCUAAACUGGCCGACAGUUAAGUAGAGCAUUACUUUUUUUGAAAUAUUGGACCCAGUUUGUAUUCCAGACAGCGAAAUGAAGCAUGGGGAGGACGGGAGGGAGGGAAAGGGGGACGAAGUACCAGCCAAUUGUUUGUGAUGGGGAUUUAUUGGAAACACUCAAAAACACCUCCAUUGAUUUCUCAGUGGUUAGAACCUAAUAGCUUGCCCCGCUUGGAUGCACGGCAGGGGGAGAAAGAUAGCCUUUAUUCCAGGUGUCUCUGUGACAAGAUAAAUACUGGCAUUUCUGUGACCAAGGGAGUGAGGAGGGAUGUGACAGGGUUGUGACAGGGAGCUGCAGUCUCUGGGACAAAAGCCUACUAUGUGCCGGGCACUGGUGAAAGGACCCCAUCCCUGCCAGAACGGGGCUGAUUGUCCAGGAGAGCAGAUCGUCAAGAAAGUGAGUAAAUGCAGUGAUAACGCAGGGGAUAAGUUGGGAUAGAAGAAACACAGGAUGCCAAAAUUCCAUACUAUAGAGACACUGAGAAGGGCACACUGAUGAGGAAUGGGGAUGACGGUGGCGGGUGUGUGCACCAAGUCAUGCAGAGCUCACGUGCAAGACAGAGGGUGAAAACCAUGCAGUGUAAGUAGAGCUUCGAUUCUGGGUGACACUGGGGGCGUGCGCACAUUAAAUGCACAUUUUAUCCUUAAGGCAAAGGGAGCUCGUUGAGCAUUUUGAUCACGGCUGUGCUAGGAUGACUUGUGCACCACAGAAAGACCCUUCCAAUUACAGAGAGAAGGGGAUACACAGGAGGAAACAAAACCAUGGGGAAACAGCACAGAGAGUGUCACCUGUUUUUGGAGUUGACACCAGGGAGACGACUGAUACUGGUAACCCAGAGGGAGGUCCUGCGAUGGCUGAUGGGUCCUGGUCCUGAGAUUGGUAACAUUUAUCAAUUUUCUUAUUUCUCAGGAUUGCCUAGGUUAUUCUGAGCCCUUUAGAUUUCAAUAUUAACUUUAGGAUGUCAGUUCUCACAAAAGAGCAGCCUGGGGUGUGCGUGAAAUCAUACUAAAGCUACAGAUCCACUUCGGGGGAAUUAGCAUCUCUUCAGUCUUUCAGUCCAUGCAAGCUUACACCCUCAAUGUGUUAUAUUUUGCCAUGUAUUUGCGUGUUCCCUGAUUUCUGUAAAUAAUAUCGUGCACAGAAUGCGCACAUCUUUUGCUAGAUUUCCAUGAGACAAACCCUCCAGUUAUAUCAUCCCCAGGUAGAUCCCUAGGUAUGUGACUUUUAUUUUGUAAGUAGUGUCACUCUUUAAAUAAUUUUAUCACCCUUGUUUGUUGCUGGUAUUAUAAAAAUAAAACUGGCUGUUGUAUAACGAA